CACGUAGGGCGCAAGCGUUGUCCGGAAUUAUUGGGCGUAAAGAGCUCGUAGGCGGUCUGUUGCGUCCGCUGUGAAGACUCGGGGCUUAACCCCGAGCCUGCAGUGGAUACGGGCAGACUAGAGGUAGGUAGGGGAGAAUGGAAUUCCCGGUGUAGCGGUGAAAUGCGCAGAUAUCGGGAGGAACACCCGUGGCGAAGGCGGCUCUCUGGGACGGUACUGACGCUGAGACGCGAAAGCGUGGGGAGCGAACAGG
rnacentral:rRNA from 1 species